UGCCAGCCGCCGCGGUAAUACGGAGGGUGCAAUCGUUAAUCGGAAUUACUGGGCGUAAAGAGUACGUAGGCGGCUUUUCAAGUCGGAUGUGAAAUCCCUGAGCUUAACUCAGGAACUGCAUUCGAUACUGGAUCGCUAGAGUAUAUUAGAGGAUAGUGGAAUUUCAAGUGUAGCGGUGAAAUGCGUAGAUAUUUGAAGGAACACCAAUGGCGAAGGCAGCUAUCUGGAAUAAUAAGGAAGCGGAGGUAAGAACGCGUGGGGAGCAAACAGGAGUAGAUC
rnacentral:rRNA from 1 species